UGGGGUGACUGCGUACCUUUUGUAUAAUGGGUCAGCGACUUAUAUUCUGUAGCAAGGUUAACCGAAUAGGGGAGCCGUAGGGAAACCGAGUCUUAACCGGGCGUUAAGUUGCAGGGUAUAGACCCGAAACCCGGUGAUCUAGCCAUGGGCAGGUUGAAGGUUGGGUAACACUAACUGGAGGACCGAACCGACUAAUGUUGAAAAAUUAGCGGAUGACCUGUGGCUGGGGGUGAAAGGCCAAUCAAACCGGGAGAUAGCUGGUUCUCCCCGAAAGCUAUUUAGGUAGCGCCUCGUGAAUUCAUCUCCGGGGGUAGAGCACUGUUUCGGCUAGGGGGCCAUCCCGGCUUACCAACCCGAUGCAAACUGCGAAUACCGGAGAAUGUUAUCACGGGAGACACACGGCGGGUGCUAACGUCCGUCGUGAAGAGGGAAACAACCCAGACCGCCAGCUAAGGUCCCAAAGUCAUGGUUAAGUGGGAAACGAUGUGGGAAGGCCCAGACAGCCAGGAUGUUGGCUUAGAAGCAGCCAUCAUUUAAAGAAAGCGUAAUAGCUCACUGGUCGAGUCGGCCUGCGCGGAAGAUGUAACGGGGCUAAACCAUGCACCGAAGCUGCGGCAGCGACGCUGAUGCGUUGUUGGGUAGGGGAGCGUUCUGUAAGCCUGCGAAGGUGGCCUGUGAGGGUUGCUGGAGGUAUCAGAAGUGCGAAUGCUGACAUAAGUAACGAUAAAGCGGGUGAAAAGCCCGCUCGCCGGAAGACCAAGGGUUCCUGUCCAACGUUAAUCGGGGCAGGGUGAGUCGACCCCUAAGGCGAGGCCGAAAGGCGUAGUCGAUGGGAAACGGGUUAAUAUUCCCGUACUUGGUGUUACUGCGAAGGGGGGACGGAGAAGGCUAUGUUGGCCGGGCGACGGUUGUCCCGGUUUAAGCGUGUAGGUGUGUGUUCCAGGUAAAUCCGGUUCACUUUAACACUGAGGCGUGAUGACGAGGCACUACGGUGCUGAAGCAACAAAUGCCCUGCUUCCAGGAAAAGCCUCUAAGCAUCAGGUAACAUCAAAUCGUACCCCAAACCGACACAGGUGGUCAGGUAGAGAAUACCAAGGCGCUUGAGAGAACUCGGGUGAAGGAACUAGGCAAAAUGGUGCCGUAACUUCGGGAGAAGGCACGCUGACACGUAGGUGAAGUGAUUUACUCAUGGAGCUGAAGUCAGUCGAAGAUACCAGCUGGCUGCAACUGUUUAUUAAAAACACAGCACUGUGCAAACACGAAAGUGGACGUAUACGGUGUGACGCCUGCCCGGUGCCGGAAGGUUAAUUGAUGGGGUCAGCGCAAGCGAAGCUCCUGAUCGAAGCCCCGGUAAACGGCGGCCGUAACUAUAACGGUCCUAAGGUAGCGAAAUUCCUUGUCGGGUAAGUUCCGACCUGCACGAAUGGCGUAAUGAUGGCCAGGCUGUCUCCACCCGAGACUCAGUGAAAUUGAACUCGCUGUGAAGAUGCAGUGUACCCGCGGCAAGACGGAAAGACCCCGUGAACCUUUACUAUAGCUUGACACUGAACAUUGAGCCUUGAUGUGUAGGAUAGGUGGGAGGCUUUGAAGUGUGGACGCCAGUCUGCAUGGAGCCGACCUUGAAAUACCACCCUUUAAUGUUU
rnacentral:rRNA from 1 species